rnacentral:rRNA from 1 species
UACGUAGGGUGCGAGCGUUGUCCGGAAUUAUUGGGCGUAAAGAGCUUGUAGGCGGUUUGUCGCGUCUGCUGUGAAAAUCCAGGGCUUAACCCUGGACCUGCAGUGGGUACGGGCAGACUAGAGUGCGGUAGGGGAGAUCGGAAUUCCUGGUGUAGCGGUGAAAUGCGCAGAUAUCAGGAGGAACACCGGUGGCGAAGGCGGAUCUCUGGGCCGUAACUGACGCUGAGGAGCGAAAGCAUGGGGAGCGAACAGG